rnacentral:rRNA from 1 species
GGGGGGGGCAAGCGUUGUUCGGAAUUACUGGGCGUAAAGGGCGCGUAGGCGGUUGGAUAAGUCAGCUGUGAAAACCACGGGCUUAACUCGUGGCCUGCAGUUGAGACUGUCUGGCUUGAGUGUGGGAGAGGAGAGUGGAAUUCCUGGUGUAGCGGUGAAAUGCGUAGAUAUCAGGAGGAACACCGGUGGCGAAGGCGGCUCUCUGGACCACAACUGACGCUGAGGCGCGAAAGCUAGGGGAGCAAACAGGAUUAGAUACCCUGGUAGUCCUAGCUGUAAACGAUGGAUACUUGCUGUGGGGGGUGUUAAAUCCCCCUGUGGCGGAGCUAACGCAUUAAGUAUCCCGCCUGGGGAGUACGGUCGCAAGGCUG